rnacentral:misc_RNA from 1 species
UCAAUCUUUGAGUUGUGGGUCUACAAGGUGUCAGCACCCAUUUCAUGUUUCACUCGUAAUUUUGUCGAUUGCACAUCCUAUCUUGGCAACAAGGAGUACUUUCCUGCUGAUUUAUUUUUUACAUCAGCUUUCACUUGCCUCAUUGCUUUCCCCAGAAAUCGCAAAAAUUAAGAGGAUGCCGGGCCUCAUAGACCCACCCUACCAUGCUCUCCUGCUGGAAGGUGUCAACCCAGCAGCCAAGGAGCUGCUGGAGGCGAAGGGGUGCAUUGUGGAAUAUAUACCGAACGCUCUGCCGCCUGAAGCACUGUUGGAGAAGAUAAAGGAUGUUCAUUUUCUCGGCAUUCGCAGCAAGACGCAGGUGACUCAGGCAAUACUCGACGCAGCUCCCAAGCUUCUUGCGAUCGGCUGCUUCUGCAUCGGAACAAAUCAAGUUGAUUUAAACUACGCAAACAAGCGAGGCGUGGCGGUGUUUAACUCCCCGUUCGCAAACACCCGCAGUGUUGCAGAGCUUGUGAUCGGGGAAAUCAUCUCGUUGUCGCGGAAGAUCACGCAGCGCAGCGAGGAGGUGCAUCGCGGUGUGUGGAACAAGACACAUGUAGGCUGCUACGAGGUGCGGGGUAAAACUGUCGGUAUUGUUGGGUACGGUCACAUCGGUUCCCAGGUGGGUGUACUUGCGGAAGCUCUCGGUAUGAACGUAAUUUUUUACGAUGUGGUGCCGACUCUCGCGAUCGGCAACGCCACGAAGUUCACCCAUAUAAACGACUUGCUCACUUUCUCAGAUUUCGUGACGCUUCAUGUACCGGAGACGGAUGUUACCAAAGGCAUGAUUGGCGAAGAACAGAUCCAGCUGAUGAAGAAAGGCUCCUACCUAAUCAACGCUAGUCGAGGAACGGUUGUCGACCUUGAGGCUUUAGCAAAGGCGUUGCGCGAAGGACACCUCGCCGGUGCUGCUAUCGACGUUUACCCGGAGGAGCCUGGGUCGAACAAGGAGCUGCACAAAACACCUCUUCAAGGUAUUCCCAAUGUGAUUUUGACCCCACACGUGGGUGGGUCGACAUGCGAGGCGCAGGAGGCCAUUGGCGUGGAGGUGGGUAUGGCGCUUGCUCAGUUUGUGACCAGCGGCGUUACUGCCGGCGCCGUCAAUUUCCCGCACCUUGUUCCGCCACCGGUGGACAAGUCGAACUUCCGGCUCACCAACGUUCAUGCGAAUGUGCCUGGUGCAUUGAACGAAAUAAACAAGAUUGCGGUGGAUUUGGGCUGCAACAUCGGUAUGCAGUUUCUGUCAACUAGCAAAGCGAUCGGCUACCUCAUCAUGGACGUUGACAAGGACGUUGCGACGGAGCUUCGGAAGCGUAUUUCGGCGCUCAAGUACAGCAUUCGCACGCUGAUCAUUCGUUAGAGUACUUUCUCCACUCUGAGAAUGAUGGUGUGUGCAGGGUGACAGAAAUAGGCACACUUCACUACUUCCUCCCGUAUAUACUAUUUCUUAUCUAAAUGUAUGGCUUCACGUACACAGAAUGUCAAUGAUAUGUCCGCGUUCGUUUCGCGUAAGUGACAAUCAUGGUGGGCUAUCCGCGCCCCUCUUAGUUGCCGUCUUGCAUGCGCAUUGUAAUUGCACGAAUCAUUUGCUGCUGCCGCUUGAUUGAGCGAUGUUUCCCCUCAUUGGUGGUUCGUUUCAUCUGAGCGUCUCUCUUUCUGUUGCAGCGCUCUCGCAGAUGUUCUUUUUGAGGAAAAAGGAACGUAUCAUCUCAUUUUCGUGUCUUUUAGGGAAUCAUACGGUGCUCAUUACUUUUGCAUUGCCCGUUCUAUUCUGAUAGACGUGCUCUUUAAAAGGCGGUCAAGCAGUGUGCCUCAUGGUACUCUCGCCGCUUAACUGUAGAAGAACCAGCUGUCUUUUCAUUCUCGAAUAUCAUCAUUCUACUCGCUAUGAUCCGCUUUGUGAAGUGCUUUGGCAAGUGUUUGUGAAAACGCAACUGUCAAGAAUUGAAAAAAUAACUGCGGUGAGCUAUUGAUUCCGGUGAGGAUAUGUGCACGCCAUGUUGAUGUGAUCCGGGUGAAGUGCCACCCGCUGUGGCCGGAAAGUAGGUUUUCUUUAUGCAUCGCCUCCGCGUCUUUUU